rnacentral:rRNA from 1 species
CUGCAUGGCUGUCGUCAGCUCGUGUCGUGAGAUGUUGGGUUAAGUCCCGCAACGAGCGCAACCCUUGCCUUUAGUUGCCAGCAGUUCGGCUGGGCACUCUAAAGGGACUGCCGGUGUCAAACCGGAGGAAGGUGGGGAUGACGUCAAGUCCUCAUGGCCUUUAUGGCCAGGGCUACACACGUACUACAAUGGCCGGUACAAAGGGCAGCGACAUUGCGAAAUGGAGCGAAUCCCGAAAAGCCGGUCUCAGUCCGGAUUGGAGUCUGCAACUCGACUCCAUGAAGUUGGAAUCGCUAGUAAUCGCGGAUCAGCCAUGCCGCGGUGAAUACGUUCCCGGGCCUU